AUACGUAGGGGGCGAGCGUUGUCCGGAAUGAUUGGGCGUAAAGGGCGCGUAGGCGGCCCGGUAAGUCUGGAGUGAAAGUCCUGUUUUUAAGAUGGGAAUUGCUUUGGAUACUGUCGGGCUUGAGUGCAGGAGAGGUAAGUGGAAUUCCCAGUGUAGCGGUGAAAUGCGUAGAGAUUGGGAGGAACACCAGUGGCAAAGGCGACUUACUGGACUGUAACUGACGCUGAGGCGCGAAAGUGUGGGGAGCAAACAGGAUUAGAUACCCUGGUAGUCCACACUGUAAACGAUGAAUGCUAGGUGUAGGGGGUAUCGACCCCUUCUGUGCCGCAGUCAACACAAUAAGCAUUCCGCCUGGGGAGUACGGCCGCAAGGUUGAAACUCAAAUGAAUUGACGGGG
rnacentral:rRNA from 1 species